UACGAAGGGGGCUAGCGUUGCUCGGAAUUACUGGGCGUAAAGGGCGCGUAGGCGGACAGUUAAGUCAGAAGUCAAAGCCCAGGGCUCAACCUUGGAAUCGCUUUUGAUACUGGCUGUCUUGAGUACGGGAGAGGUGUGUGGAACUCCGAGUGUAGAGGUGAAAUUCGUAGAUAUUCGGAAGAACACCAGUGGCGAAGGCGACACACUGGCCCGUUACUGACGCUGAGGCGCGAAAGCGUGGGGAGCAAACAGG
rnacentral:rRNA from 1 species